AGCAGCCGCGGUAAUUCCAGCUCCAAUAGCGUAUAUUAAAGUUGUUGCAGUUAAAAAGCUCGUAGUUGACUUUCGGGGUCAGUAGGUUGGUCGUGCCAAUGGUGUGUACUGGCUUUACUGAUUCCUCCUUCUUGAAGAACUGUAAUGUCAUUAAUUUGGUGUUGCAGGGAAACAGGACUGUUACUUUGAAAAAAUUAGAGUGUUUAAAGCAGGCUAACGCUUGAAUACACAUUAGCAUGGAAUAAUGAAAUAGGACGUUCGAUCCUAUUUUGUUGGUUUCUAGGAUUGACGUAAUGAUUAAUAGGGAUAGUUGGG
rnacentral:rRNA from 1 species